rnacentral:rRNA from 1 species
CACGGAUCCAGAGUUUGAUUCUGGCUCAGGAUGAACGCUGGCGGCGUGCUUAACACAUGCAAGUCGAACGGAGUAUUAGGAAUGAAGUUUUCGGAUGGAUUUUUUAAUACUUAGUGGCGGACGGGUGAGUAACGCGUGGGUAACCUGCCUCACACAGGGGGAUAACAGUUGGAAACGACUGUUAAUACCGCAUAAGACCACAGUACCGCAUGGUACAGGGGUAAAAACUCCGGUGGUGUGAGAUGGACCCGCGUCUGAUUAGUUAGUUGGCGGGGUAACGGCCCACCAAGACGACGAUCAGUAGCCGAUCUGAGAGGAUGACCGGCCACAUUGGGACUGAGACACGGCCCAAACUCCUACGGGAGGCAGCAGUGGGGAAUAUUGCACAAUGGGGGAAACCCUGAUGCAGCGACGCCGCGUGAGUGAAGAAGUAUUUCGGUAUGUAAAGCUCUAUCAGCAGGGAAGAAAAUGACGGUACCUGAGUAAGAAGCCCCGGCUAACUACGUGCCAGCAGCCGCGGUAAUACGUAGGGGGCAAGCGUUAUCCGGAUUUACUGGGUGUAAAGGGAGCGCAGACGGCGCAGCAAGUCUGAAGUGAAAGCCCGGGGCUUAACUCCGGGACUGCUUUGGAAACUGCUGUGCUUGAGUAUCGGAGGGGCAGGCGGAAUUCCCAGUGUAGCGGUGAAAUGCGUAGAUAUUGGGAAGAACACCGGUGGCGAAGGCGGCCUGCUGGACGAUAACUGACGUUGAGGCUCGAAGGCGUGGGGAGCAAACAGGAUUAGAUACCCUGGUAGUCCACGCGGUAAACGAUGAAUACUAGGUGUUGGCAUCCAAAGGAUGUCGGUGCCGGCGCAAACGCAUUAAGUAUUCCACCUGGGGAGUACGUUCGCAAGAAUGAAACUCAAAGGAAUUGACGGGGACCCGCACAAGCAGUGGAGCAUGUGGUUUAAUUCGAAGCAACGCGAAGAACCUUACCAGGUCUUGACAUGGAGAUGACCGGCUGGUAACGCAGCCUUUCCUUCGGGACAUCUCACACAGGUGGUGCAUGGUUGUCGUCAGCUCGUGUCGUGAGAUGUUGGGUUAAGUCCCGCAACGAGCGCAACCCUUAUUGCCAGUAGCCAGCAGGUAAAGCUGGGCACUCUGGCGAGACUGCCCGGGAUAACCGGGAGGAAGGUGGGGAUGACGUCAAAUCAUCAUGCCCCUUAUGAUCUGGGCAACACACGUGCUACAAUGGCGUAAACAGAGAGAAGCGAACCUGCGAGGGGGAGCAAAUCUUCAAAUAACGUCUCAGUUCGGACUGUAGUCUGCAACCCGACUACACGAAGCUGGAAUUGCUAGUAAUCGCGAAUCAGCAUGUCGCGGUGAAUACGUUCCCGGGUCUUGUACACACCGCCCGUCACACCAUGGGAGUCAGCAACGCCCGAAGUCAGUGACCCAACCUUUCAGGAGGGAGCUGCCGAAGGCGGGGCGGAUAACUGGGGUGAAGUCGUAACAAGGUAGCCGUAAGCUUCAC